ensembl:lncRNA
UAGAGACAAACCUGUCUCCACCCGUGUGGAAACUGCUGCGCUGUCUUUUCAGAUGAGCCAGUCUGAGCCAUUCCACAGGACGUGGGGUUUUAUGCUGUAGAAAUCUUCCCAUGCUGUUAGGCUGCUGUGAAUCAUGUUUAUGGACGACUAAUGGCGCGGGAGUCAGCCAUGCUCUGACGAUGUCUCAGGAACCGAGGGAGGCGUUUUAUAGGAACUCUCAUCCCAUCUCCAUGUUACAGGUGAGGGAACUAGAACCUCCAGAGCCCUCGACUUGUGACUGUGACUAAUGGUCACGACAAAGCAGGACUCGACUCACUUACAGAGAAGAGAAGGCUCCUUCAUGCUGGUUUAGUAGUGUGAGACCAACUGACUCAAUAAAGUUGACACUAUGGAGAUCUUCAUCUAAAUCUGCUCAAUUCACAACUAAACAGUUGGAGAAGGGGGCAUUAAUUAAUUACUACAGUAUAGACAGUAUUACCUUGAUUUGAAUAUUACCUGAAUUUGAACAACCCGACCAGAGUGGACGAGGGCUGGAUGGACCUCAGUAGUAACAAACUUGCCUCCCAUAUACAAGUGCCUGGGUUUGCCCCCAGCCCCACAGGAAGAUAAAAUAAGGAGAACAACCUAGAUGGGACAUACUAUUUCCUUCUGGCAUGAACUGGACCCCGAUGUGUAUGGUACAGCGAUGUGUUUUCUUUGUUCUACUUAAGAGCAUCCUUUUGAGAAAUAGGAAGGUUGUUUUCAGCCCGACUCCGGGUACGUUUGGGUACAGAAAUGUGCCCAAGAAGAGGAAGAUAUGUAUAAAUUCUUAUGUGAGUGUUAUGAUAUCACUGAUAUCCACUCCUCUUCAUCCAUUUAUACAAGAGCAGAACACACACUGGAAAAGCAGAGGCAGGAGGAUGACUGUUUGAGUCUAGUCCUGGGCUACAAAAAGAGCUCCAGGCCAGCCUGGGCUACAAUGUGAAACACUGUCUCAAAAAAAAAAAAACAAAAACAAAAACAAAAAAUAAAUGAAAGUAAAGAGCAAAGCACAUCCUGAGACCCCAGCAAGUGUAG